rnacentral:rRNA from 1 species
GGCGAACGCUGGCGGCGUGCUUAACACAUGCAAGUCGAGCGGAAAGGCCCUUUCGGGGGUACUCGAGCGGCGAACGGGUGAGUAACACGUGCGUAAUCUGCCCUUCACUUGGGGAUAACCUCCGGAAACGGUGGCUAAUACCCGAUACGACCAUUCCUCGCAUGAGGUGGUGGUGGAAAGUUUUUCGGUGGGGGAUGUGCUCGCGGCCUAUCAGCUUGUUGGUGGGGUAAUGGCCUACCAAGGCUUCGACGGGUAGCCGGCCUGAGAGGGUGACCGGCCACACUGGGACUGAGACACGGCCCAGACUCCUACGGGAGGCAGCAGUGGGGAAUAUUGGACAAUGGGCGGAAGCCUGAUCCAGCAACGCCGCGUGAGGGAUGACGGCCUUCGGGUUGUAAACCUCUUUCACCUGUGACGAAGCGAAAGUGACGGUAGCAGGAGAAGAAGCACCGGCCAACUACGUG